AGUGCCUAAAAAAUAUGUAAUUCUUACCUAACAGUGCCUAAAAAAUAUGUAAUUAUAUUUAAGAACGUGAAAGUGAUUAUGAGAUCUACGUAACUCAAGCUAAAGUUAUUGGUUCACCCUGUAUAUUAUUACACUAUUAAAAAUGUUUAAUUGUAAUUUUUGAAUAAUGUCUUUUAGCUCUUUCUAUUGUAACAUUUUAAAUUAGAGCGGGUGAAAAUUGUUUUAAAUGCCGCGGGCGUUUCGAAACAAACCACCCCCACUCGCGCCAUCUUAGAUUUUAACGCGCGAUUUGGAAUUGCGACAGUGAAAAAGUUCAAAGUUCAAUCCGGUGUGUAACGUCGUUGUUUAGUGUAUCAUUUUGUGUUUAAAAAAGUAGAGCCUGUUGAAGAAUGUCGAGAUAGAGAAAUUUUGCAUAUUUUAGAUAUUCUGUAACAUGAAAGAUCUUGUAAUUACGUCGAGUUUGUCGAGUUAGUUGGUAAAAAUAUGUGUCCAUUCAGUGUUCUUGGUAGUGUUCUUAAGUGUACUUACUGCGACUUUUGAAGACAUUUCGUGGGUUUUUCUCUUACAUUCGCCUCCUAAGAGCAGUGGAAAUGUAAACGAAGGGAGGGAAUGUCGUUUAUGCACGAUUUUUCCGAUUUUUCCAUCGUCUCCGACGAUAAUUCUCUCGAGACGAUUUUCGUCGAGGAAGGAAAAAGCGUGGAAGAGAAUGGAGCCCCACGACAGGAAAUGCAUCGCACAGAAUGGAAAGGACGUCUACGCUCCUAUCUGACCUACAUUGUCAACUUCGAGGCUGCUGUCCGGGAAGUUUAUAUUUUCCUAUACAGCUGAUAAGGUAUCGGUGGAAUAUUAGACGGGAGAUCGAUUAAAAGAUGAAAUACGCAGAGUGCUCCGCUGCAUUCCGAUACCCAGGCUCGUUUCUAAGAUGCAAUAGAGGAUUAAAGACGUCCGCUUCGAGUUGGCAUCGAUUAACCUGGAGCUGGUUAAACACCAAUACGAAGUUUGCCCGCGAGUCUUGAAGAGAAACUCUGUUUGGAAGGGAUUAGUAAUCAACAAUGAUCGGGGGAGCGAGAGAGAAGGGGACGAUGGUCGGGCCAAGUCCAAAGGGAAGUUUAUCAAGGAGUUACAGAACGAACCGAACGAAACUUCGGUCGAACUCCACGGUCACUUCUUACUUUCCCCAUUAGCCGAGAGGAACUCAAGGGGACGCGUUCCUUACUUGGCAAAAUAAAAUCAAGACCGCUUCGCCCGAGGUGAACAAAAAUAUUUAUACAGACUCCAUUUGCUUCGGACAUCUAUUUCCUGCUAAACUUCGAAUGUGCCCCUG